UAACUUUAAUUCUUAAUUCAUUCUAAUGAUACUUUUUAUGUUCUCGGCGGGUAAAUUAAGUUAUAACAUAGGAUUUACAUGCAUACCAUAAAGCGGUGAUCUAAUGAAAGGCUAACGGCGGAUUAAUAUGAAGCGAGGAUAACAAGAUUGGUAGUAAAAAUUUAUAUCUAAAUUAAUUUUUAAAGAAAAAUGUAAACACCAG